rnacentral:rRNA from 1 species
GGGCCCGCACAAGCAGUGGAGUAUGUGGUUUAAUUCGAAGCAACGCGAAGAACCUUACCAGGUCUUGACAUCCCGAUGACCGUCCUAGAGAUAGGGCUUCUCUUCGGAGCAUCGGUGACAGGUGGUGCAUGGUUGUCGUCAGCUCGUGUCGUGAGAUGUUGGGUUAAGUCCCGCAACGAGCGCAACCCUUACGGUUAGUUGAUACAUUUAGUUGAUCACUCCAGCCGGACUGCCGUUGACAAAACGGAGGAAGGUGGGGACGACGUCAAAUCAUCAUGCCCCUUAUGACCUGGGCUACACACGUACUACAAUGGCAGUCAUACAGAGGGAAGCAAUACCGCGAGGUGGAGCAAAUCCCUAAAAGCUGUCCCAGUUCAGAUUGUAGGCUGAAACUCGCCUACAUGAAGUCGGAAUGGCUAGUAAUCGCGGAUCAGCAUGCCG